rnacentral:tRNA from 1 species
GAGAAGACUAGUCAAGGAGCGGCGGAUUGCUAAUCCGUUGUAUGAAUUUUUGUACCGAGGGUUCGAAUCCCUCUCUUUCCG